GUGUGUGUGUGUGUGUGUGUGUGUCAUCUGUUUGUGGUUGCGGUGGGCAUGGCAUUAAGAUUUUGUGUGCGGAUUUGCUUGCAAGGGUACGAACACACACACACACACACACACACACACAGGAGAGGUUAAGUGUCGGGUUGCUGGAGGUCACAUGAAGGAAGAAAGGUUAGGUGUGACUCACGUACAUGUUUUCUUUCUCUCUCUCUCUCUUUUUUUUUUUUUUUUUGUACUCCUCGCGUGGACAAGGGCAAACAGGUUGAGUGAGGUUAAGGCGGAGAGGAGGACAGAAAAGAGGUUAUGGGAAUGAGGUUUGAACUGAAUUUAAUGGGUUGAGAAAAUGUGGAAUGUUUUUUUCUGCUUUUUCUUUAUUGCAUGGAAAAGACUGGAGAGGUUAUGCGAGGUUGAGACGGAGGAGAAAGACAGAAAAAUAGAGGUUAUGGGGCUGAGGUUUGAACAGAAUAUAAUGGGUCGAGAAAAUGGGCAAUGUGUUUUUCUUCUUUUUUCUUCAUUGCGUGGACAAGAGUGGAGAGGUUAUGCGAGGUUAAGGCGGAAAGAAAGAAAAGCAAGCGAAAUAGAGGUUAUAGGAGUGGAGUUUAAAAAUCAAUGUAAUGUGUAGAGAAAAAAAUGUAAAGUAUAAUGCUUUCUUUCUUUUUCAUUCCUCGUGUAUAAAAGAAUGGACGGAUUAGUUAAGAAAGGUUAAGAUAAAGAAACACAAAACAAACUAAUGGAGAGGUUAAGCAGGUUUGAGGUCUGAACUGAACUUAACGGGAAGGGAAACCAGAAUAUUGAUUUCUUACUUUGCUUUUUAUUCCUCGCGUGGAUAAGAGUGAAGAGGUUAUAGAAGGUCAAGGUAAAGAUGAAAACAAGAGAAAAAAAGAGUUAUGGGAUUGAGACUUGAACUUAUUUAACGGGAAGAGAAAACCAGAAUAUUGUUUUUCUACUUUGUUUUUAUUCCUCGCGUGGAUAAGAGUGAAGAGGUUAUAGAAGGUCAAGGUAAAGAUGAAAACAAGAGAAAAAAAAGUUAUGGGAUUGAGACGAACUUAAUUUCACGGGAAGAGAAAAUCAGAAUAUUGUUUUCCUACUCUUUUUAUUCCUCGCGUGGAUAAGAGUGAAGAGGUUAUAGAAGGUCAAGGUAAAGAUGAAAACAAGAGAAAAAAAGAGUUAUGGGAUUGAGACUUGAACUUAUUUAACGGGAAGAGAAAACCAGAAUAUUGUUUUCCUACUCUUUUUAUUCCUCUCGUGGAUAAGAGUGAAGAGGUUACAGAAGGUCAAGGUAAAGAUGAAAACAAGAGAAAAAAAGAGUUAUGGGAUUGAGACUUGAACUUAAUUUAACGGGAAGAGAAAAUCAGAAUAUUGUCUUCCUACUCUUUUUAUUCCUCGCGUGGAUGAGAGUGAAGAGUUUACAGAAGCUCAGGUUAAAGAUGAAAACAAGAGAAAAAAAAAGUUAUGAGAUUGAGACUUGAACUUAUUUAACGGGAAGAGAAAACCAGAAUAUUGUUUUUCUACUUUGUUUUUAUUCCUCGCGUGGAUAAGAGUGAAGAGGUUAUAGAAGGUCAAGGUAAAGAUGAAAACGAGAAAAAAAAGUUAUGGGAUUGAGACGAACUUAAUUUAACGGGAAGAGAAAACCAGAAUAUUGUUUUCCUACUUUGUUUUUUUAUACCUCUCGUGGAUAAGAGUGAAGAGGUCACAUAAGGUUACCGUAAAGAAGAAAGCAAGUGAAAAAAAGUUAUGGGAUUGAGACCUGAACUGAAUAUAGCCGGGGGUUCAGUACGAGGAACAUACAUAUUUUUCUUUUCAUUUAUUCCUCGCAUGAACAAAAAGGUUACAAGAGGUCAUGAGCUUAAGAUGCAAGUAGAAUUAAACCGCUAAGAGAAGAAUGUGAGUU